AGAGGCUGCAGUGAGCCAGGAUCAUGCCGCUGCACUCUAGCCUGGGAGACAGAGCUAGUCUCUGUUAAAUAAAAAAGAAAUAAAAUAUUUUUCCUUCACUUCUUGUUCUGCAUCCUCUAUCUCUGUUCUUCCUGUCCCAGUUGUUUCCUUCCCUUUUUCCCCUUAUCUUCCUCCAAUGACUCUUUGCAGAGGAUGCUGCAUCCCACUGGUGCCAGUGCCAAACCCUACUGAUAUUGGCAGAGCAGUAUUUUUCCCAGUGACCUUGGUUUUAUUAUUUUUAAUUGCCUGGGUUCACAUCAGUGUUGUAAUACAGUCAGUUUUACAGUCCACGGAAAUGAUAGCGGUGCCUUGAGAGGCGUAUGGCUGAGGGGUCAUGAUGCAGAGUCCCAGCUCUACUGCAUAGAGCCUCACCCACUUCCCUGCCUCCACAUCCUCACCAUGGAAAUAGGAGCACUGUUGGUACCCACCUCGUGAGGGCGGUUCUAGAAUUAUUCAAACACAUCAUCUAAGAUGCUCUGUACAGACCCUGGUAUAUUGUAACCACUCAAUAAUGUCAGUUCCUCUUGAAAAGCAUCAUCCAGGCCCUGUUUGCACAGAGUUAAUUGCUUCUAUACUUUUUUGUUUGUUUGUUUUUUGAGACAGAGUCAUGCUCUGUUGCCCAUGCUGGAGUGUAGUGGCAUGAUCUCUGUUCACUGCAACCUCUGCCUUCUGGGUUCAAACAAUUCUCCCACCUCAGCCUCCUGAGUAGCUGGGGUUACAGGUGCGUGCCACCAUGCCUGGCUAAUUUUUUAUAUUUUUAGUAGUGACAGGGUUUCACCAUGUUGGCCAGGCUGGUCUCGAACCCCUGGCCUCAAGUGAUCCUCCCACCUGGGCCUCCCAAAGUGCUGGGAUUACAGGCAUGAGCUGCUGGGCCCAGCUGCUUCUGGUACAUUUCUUAAAUGUCCUGUGAAAGUUCAUCUGGAAUGGGAUUUGCUGGGAAUUCAUUUUAUAGACAAGGGAAGGAUGCAGUCUUGUCAGAUAUGGUGACUUAAAGGUCAUCUUAAAGGACUUAGAACUCAGCUGAGUGUGGUGGUGGAUGCUUGUAGUCUUAGCUGCUGGGGACACUGAUGUGAGAGGUUCGCUUGGGCCUGGGAGUUUGAGGCUGUGAUGAGCUAUGACUGGGCCACUGCACUCCAGCCUGGGCAACAGAGCAAGACCCUGUGUCAAAGUAAAAAAGACCUAUAGAAGCAUUAGUGCUUGGGGUAACUAUCAGCAUGUGCUGGCAGAGGUCUCGUGCCUUUACCUUGCUGUUGAGUCCCUCCAGAUCACUGGCCUUCCCGUGCCCUUUCUCUUCUCUGGGCUGCUAAUGCCUUCCUUCCCCAUAUUAGUAAUAUUACUGAUAAACAAAUUGGUACAUUCUCCGAUCUCACUUCAGAAGCUGUUUCUGUGCAUUGAAGAUGUACAUACACUCUUAAUUCAAAAGAGAUAGCAUUUAUGUGCUGCCACAUUAAACAGUUUGCAACAGUAUUACUACUGAGUUUGUGUUGCCUCUGUGCAACCCUCAUGGUGCCCAGGAACAAAUGAAACCACCAGAGACCUGGAGCCUCAGGUUCAUUCAGUGGUGCCCCAGGGAAGGGGAUUGGGGGGCUUAUUCCCAGGAGGCCUCUGAAAUGUAAGAGCUAUUAACAAGGAGUUAUAAAUCAUCUUUGGUAGCUACAGGCCCAGGCUGUGGGUAGAGCCCUAGAUGGGAGAAACAAAUGGUAAGAUCGGUAGAGUAUUGCUCAUAUAAAUAUGUAAGCUGUUUUACUGGCACACUGUAUCUGGUGAUAUUAACAUGAUAAGCUAUUGGUAGGAUAGUUUAUCAGAUCGUAGAAAUAUAUUAUAGCCUAUUUCCUGUUAUAUACUGAAAAGCUACUAAUGGAAUAGUAGACAAUGGUAUCAGUAAUAGCUUAAAACAGUCUUCACUGGCACUUACCUGAACUCAGGAAUGACAGGUUUCUUUCAUGCACGAGGUACUGGAUACAUUAAACAUGCACACACACAGAUGUGGCAUUGCAUUCUAGUCAUAUCCUAAAGAAAAACGAUGGUGCAGUAUGUUAUUUACAGAGCUAUACUCUGUGUGAGUGACUGUGUGUGUAUGUGUGUGGUGGAGGUCAGGGAUGACUUGUUUGUAAUACACCUUAAGGAAGUCUGUCCGAAUUUGCCCUUCAAAUACUAAAUAAAUUCACCUCUUACCUCAAA